rnacentral:lncRNA from 1 species
AAAAAAAAAAAAAAAAAGAAUAAAAAAAUAUAAGGGUUAGAUAAAUAUGAGUGCGUAUGCUUCUGAAAGCACGGAGCGCUUCAUACUUCUGGAAGCACGGAGUGCUCCGUACUUCCAAGUUAUUUUCGAUGUUCGGACUUCCGAAUCGAAUAUCGGCUCCGUUAGACUUGAUCUAGAGUAUUUGAAUUAUCUAGAAAAUAAAUUUUGCGAUUUUUCGAUAUCAUUUGCUAGUGAUCGAAGUGGCUCAAAAUCAACGGCUGAAAUAAAAAUUUUACAAAAUAUAAUGAUAUGACAUUAAAAUUUUAGAUCAAAGUUAUUGAUCUUGUUUUAUAUGGUAUGAAGAAUUUUCUAUCAAAAUUUCAUGUGAUUUGGAUAUUUCUACACCGUUAAACUUACAAACGGCUCACCAUGGCCGUUAAAAUUAUUGAUUUUGAGCCACUUCGAUCACUAGGCAAAUGAUAUCGAAAAAUCACAAAAUUUAUCUUCUAGGUACUUCAAAUACUCUAGAUCAACUCUAACGGAGCCGAUCGUCAAUUCGAAAGUCCGAACAUCGAAAACAACUUGGAAGCACGAAGGGCUCCGUGCUUCCAAAAGCAUACCAGCCCACUCGAUAAAUAUAUAAAACUCAUUUCAACUAUAAAUUAUUCUCAUUUGAUUAUUUAUUUUUUUAAAAUUUUAAUUUUAUUAUUCAAAAUUUUAAUUUAUUUGAUUUGAGUUGGUCGAUGGCACUUUAAUCUUUAAAUUUAAGUUAAUUACUUAUUUUAAUGAAUUUAUAGUUGUGAGAAUUGUAUGAAACAUACUAAAUAAAUUUAUAAGGAUAAAUAAUGCAUUCAAAUUUUGAAAAUAAAGUGUCAUUGACUUAGUCAAAUCAAAUAAAUUGAAAUGUUCGACAGUAAAAUAAAAAUUUUAAAAUAUUGGACAGUUAAAUCAAAAUGGUCUAAAGUUCAGGUAAGUUCAAUAAAUUUUUACCAAUUAA